GAUGAACGCUCGCGAUAGGCUUAACACAUGCAAGUCGAGUGGCAGCAUGGUCUUAGCUUGCUAAGGCUGAUGGCGACCGGCGCACGGGUGCGUAACGCGUAUGCAACUUGCCUCACAGAGGGGGAUAACCCGUCGAAAGACGGACUAAUACCGCGUACACUCUAUGUUGGGCAUCCAAUGUAGAGGAAAUGAAAUUCGCUGUGAGAUAGGCAUGCGUCCCAUUAGCUAGUUGGUGAGGUAACGGCUCACCAAGGCGACGAUGGGUAGGGGAACUGAGAGGUUGAACCCCCACACUGGUACUGAGACACGGACCAGACUCCUACGGGAGGCAGCAGUGAGGAAUAUUGGUCAAUGGGCGAGAGCCUGAACCAGCCAAGUCGCGUGAAGGAUGACUGUCUUAUGGAUUGUAAACUUCUUUUAUACGGGAAUAACAAGAGUCACGUGUGGCUCCCUGCAUGUACCGUAUGAAUAAGCAUCGGCUAACUCCGUG
rnacentral:rRNA from 1 species